rnacentral:rRNA from 1 species
GACGUAGGGGGCCAGCGUUGUUCGGAAUUACUGGGUGUAAAGGGUUCGUAGGCGGUGUGGCAAGUCGGGAGUGAAAUCUCUGGGCUCAACCCAGAGACUGCUUCCGAAACUGCUGUGCUUGAGUGUGAGAGAGGCUCGUGGAAUUGCAGGUGUAGCGGUGAAAUGCGUAGAGAUUUGGAGGAACACCAGUGGCGAAGGCGACUUUCUGGUCUGUAACUGACACUGAGGCGCGAAAGCGUGGGGAGCGAACAGG